UGUCGUCCUUGGAAGGGCAGAAGGAUGGCUCUGGGUGAUGACGGGGAAGAUGAAGGAAAUGAGAAAGCUGAUGAGCUAACACCUAAGAUUGUUCUGGAAGGGCUGAUGUCAGGAGAUGGCGAAUCCACAGGUAGAUCCAGAACAGCGAAUGGUUUAACCGACAGGAUUCCCAAACUGGCUUCAAACAACAACAACAACGGUUGAUCCUUUGGUGGUAUGAUUCGUCGAUAUGAUAAAGGCAAUGUGGCCAGUUGUUUGGCAGAAUGACUGAAACCCAGGCAGGACGACCUGCCCCCCUGGAAUUCAGGGCAUGGGAGUGGACUGAGGAAGGAGGAGACAGGAAACAAGGGCAGUUCCCAGCCUGCUGCCCUGGGGAGCCUGGCACGUGCUCACUGAGGACCUGGUCCUGACCCUACAAGCCGUGGUCAAUUCAGGGGCGCGGGUUUAAAGCCGUUUCACAUCACCCUGGCGCGGGGCCGGGCUGCGCGAUGUGGCGGACGGGAGCCGACUGGCAGCACCAGAGAGAAUCGUAGAACCACAGACACUAGAACGGGCAGGGACCUGGAGAGGCAUCGAACCCCGUCCCCUGCCCCCCCGGCAGGACCCAGCCCCGUCUGGACCAUCCCUGCCCGGUGUCUGUCCAGCCUAGGUCGAUCCAGACAGACAGACAGGCAGGCCAGUGGAAAGGCGUCC